AGUCGAGCGAACAGACGAGGAGCUUGCUCCUCUGACGUUAGCGGCGGACGGGUGAGUAACACGUGGAUAACCUACCUAUAAGACUGGGAUAACUUCGGGAAACCGGAGCUAAUACCGGAUAAUAUAUUGAACCGCAUGGUUCAAUAGUGAAAGACGGUUUUGCUGUCACUUAUAGAUGGAUCCGCGUCGCAUUAGCUAGUUGGUAAGGUAACGGCUUACCAAGGCAACGAUGCGUAGCCGACCUGAGAGGGUGAUCGGCCACACUGGAACUGAGACACGGUCCAGACUCCUACGGGAGGCAGCAGUAGGGAAUCUUCCGCAAUGGGCGAAAGCCUGACGGAGCAACGCCGCGUGAGUGAUGAAGGUCUUCGGAUCGUAAAACUCUGUUAUUAGGGAAGAACAAAUGUGUAAGUAACUAUGCACGUCUUGACGGUACCUAAUCAGAAAGCCACGGCUAACUACGUGCCAGCAGUCGCGGUAAUACGUAGGUGGCAAGCGUUAUCCGGAAUUAUUGGGCGUAAAGCGCGCGUAGGCGGUUUUUUAAGUCUGAUGUGAAGCCCACGGCUCAACCGUGGAGGGUCAUUGGAAACUGAAAAACUUGAGUGCAGAAGAGGAAAGUGGAAUUCCAUGUGUAGCGGUGAAAUGCGCAGAGAUAUGGAGGAACACCAGUGGCGAAGGCGACUUUCUGGUCUGUAACUGACGCUGAUGUGCGAAAGC
rnacentral:rRNA from 1 species